ensembl:lncRNA
AGGAUGCCAACCUGGAGCUCCUUGAACAGUGUGGGUACCAUUACAGCUUCUAUAGUUAUACUUCCUGCCCGUUUGGUCCAGCCAGCCCAGCUCCAUACUAGAACUAAGGGAUCCCUGAGGAGCAUGAUAAAACUUGAAACUUUUACUUUAUUUUUGCCUGAACUCAGUAUCAAUUCUGGAAAUUCUGACAUGUUUGCAGACAACAUCAAGCUGAGCAGUGCAGCCAAUACAUUAGAUGGAAGGUAAGCCAUCCACGGAGACUUGGACAAGUUCGAGAAGUGGGACCACAAGAACCUAAUGAGGUUCAACAAGGCCAAGUGCAAGGUGUUGCACUUGAGCCAGGGCAAUCCCAGGUAUUUAUACAAACUGGGGGAAGAACCCCUUUAGAACAGCCCUGUGAAGAAGGACUUGGGGGUCCUGGUGGAUGAGAAGCUGGACAUGAGUCAGCAGUGUGCACUUGCAGCCCAGAAGGCCAAAUAUAUCCUGGGCUGCCUUAAAAAAGGGGUGGCC